CCUACGGGAGGCUGCAGUGGGGAAUAUUGGACAAUGGGGGGAACCCUGAUCCAGCCAUGCCGCGUGUGUGAAGAAGGCCCUCGGGUUGUAAAGCACUUUCAGUGAGGAAGAACGCCUGGUGGUUAAUACCCAUCAGGAAAGACAUCACUCACAGAAGAAGCACCGGCUAACUCCGUGCCAGCAGCCGCGGUAAUACGGAGGGUGCGAGCGUUAAUCGGAAUUACUGGGCGUAAAGCGCGCGUAGGUGGCUUGAUAAGCCGGUUGUGAAAGCCCCGGGCUCAACCUGGGAACGGCAUCCGGAACUGUCAAGCUAGAGUGCAGGAGAGGAAGGUAGAAUUCCCGGUGUAGCGGUGAAAUGCGUAGAGAUCGGGAGGAAUACCAGUGGCGAAGGCGGCCUUCUGGACUGACACUGACACUGAGGUGCGAAAGCGUGGGUAGCAAACAGGAUUAGAUACCCCAGUAGAC
rnacentral:rRNA from 1 species